rnacentral:rRNA from 1 species
AAAUUGAAGAGUUUGAUCAUGGCUCAGAUUGAACGCUGGCGGCAGGCCUAACACAUGCAAGUCGAGCGGUAGCACAGAGAGCUUGCUCUCGGGUGACGAGCGGCGGACGGGUGAGUAAUGUCUGGGAAACUGCCUGAUGGAGGGGGAUAACUACUGGAAACGGUAGCUAAUACCGCAUAACGUCGCAAGACCAAAGUGGGGGACCUUCGGGCCUCAUGCCAUCAGAUGUGCCCAGAUGGGAUUAGCUAGUAGGUGGGGUAACGGCUCACCUAGGCGACGAUCCCUAGCUGGUCUGAGAGGAUGACCAGCCACACUGGAACUGAGACACGGUCCAGACUCCUACGGGAGGCAGCAGUGGGGAAUAUUGCACAAUGGGCGCAAGCCUGAUGCAGCCAUGCCGCGUGUGUGAAGAAGGCCUUCGGGUUGUAAAGCACUUUCAGCGGGGAGGAAGGCGGUGAGGUUAAUAACCUCACCGAUUGACGUUACCCGCAGAAGAAGCACCGGCUAACUCCGUGCCAGCAGCCGCGGUAAUACGGAGGGUGCAAGCGUUAAUCGGAAUUACUGGGCGUAAAGCGCACGCAGGCGGUCUGUCAAGUCGGAUGUGAAAUCCCCGGGCUUAACCUGGGAACUGCAUUCGAAACUGGCAGGCUAGAGUCUUGUAGAGGGGGGUAGAAUUCCAGGUGUAGCGGUGAAAUGCGUAGAGAUCUGGAGGAAUACCGGUGGCGAAGGCGGCCCCCUGGACAAAGACUGACGCUCAGGUGCGAAAGCGUGGGGAGCAAACAGGAUUAGAUACCCUGGUAGUCCACGCCGUAAACGAUGUCGAUUUGGAGGUUGUGCCCUUGAGGCGUGGCUUCCGGAGCUAACGCGUUAAAUCGACCGCCUGGGGAGUACGGCCGCAAGGUUAAAACUCAAAUGAAUUGACGGGGGCCCGCACAAGCGGUGGAGCAUGUGGUUUAAUUCGAUGCAACGCGAAGAACCUUACCUGGUCUUGACAUCCACAGAACUUUCCAGAGAUGGAUUGGUGCCUUCGGGAACUGUGAGACAGGUGCUGCAUGGCUGUCGUCAGCUCGUGUUGUGAAAUGUUGGGUUAAGUCCCGCAACGAGCGCAACCCUUAUCCUUUGUUGCCAGCGGUCCGGCCGGGAACUCAAAGGAGACUGCCAGUGAUAAACUGGAGGAAGGUGGGGAUGACGUCAAGUCAUCAUGGCCCUUACGACCAGGGCUACACACGUGCUACAAUGGCAUAUACAAAGAGAAGCGACCUCGCGAGAGCAAGCGGACCUCAUAAAGUAUGUCGUAGUCCGGAUUGGAGUCUGCAACUCGACUCCAUGAAGUCGGAAUCGCUAGUAAUCGUAGAUCAGAAUGCUACGGUGAAUACGUUCCCGGGCCUUGUACACACCGCCCGUCACACCAUGGGAGUGGGUUGCAAAAGAAGUAGGUAGCUUAACCUUCGGGAGGGCGCUUACCACUUUGUGAUUCAUGACUGGGGUGAAGUCGUAACAAGGUAACCGUAGGGGAACCUGCGGUUGGAUCACCUCCUUACCUUAAAGAA